GACAGAGGGGGCAAGCGUUGCUCGGAAUUACUGGGCGUAAAGGGCGCGUAGGCGGCCGCUUGCGUCGGAUGUGAAAGCCCGGGGCUCAACCCCGGAACGGCAUCCGAUACGGGGCGGCUGGAGACCGGGAGAGGAGGGUGGAAUAGCCAGUGUAGAGGUGAAAUUCGUAGAUAUUGGCUGGAACACCGGUGGCGAAAGCGGCUCUCUGGCCCGGUUCUGACGCUGAGGCGCGAAAGCGUGGGGAGCAAACAGGA
rnacentral:rRNA from 1 species